AACUACAAUAUAGCUGUUAAGUGCUAUGUGAAAACAAUGUUGUUUCUUAACUAUACCUGUCUCUUAGCUGUAGCAGCCAGGGAUGGUUGGUCUCAUACAU
rnacentral:snoRNA from 1 species